GCGGUUGUGGCGGAACUGGUAGACGCGCAGCGUUGAGGUCGCUGUGGAGCAAUCCGUGGAGGUUCGAGUCCUCUCAACCGCACCA
rnacentral:tRNA from 1 species